rnacentral:lncRNA from 1 species
UGGAAUCCCCUAACUUGGUCUGUUGCAACAGGCUCAUCAAUUGAUCAUAGUGAUGUCUGCUCAACCCUGGUAUCACAGAAUUGUGACCAUCUAUGUGGCUGGCAGAAGGAUCCCCAAGAAGAACAGACAAAUUAGGAUUCUCAUGAUUAACAGACACACAUUCAACACCAGUGGAGACAUGAGCAGCUGCAGAUUUCCUUCCCUUAUUGUAAUUUAUGCUUUGAUGGAAC